ACUCCGCGGGUGGAUUUUGGGGGUGUGACAAAAUCAGUUUCUUCGUCGGAGGAGUCUGAAGCAUCUUCAACAAUAACAUCAUUGUAGUGAUCAGCUUCAUGAGCAUAACUGAACUCAAACUCCUUUUUCAGUGACUGAGGAAUUUCAUCUUCGAUAUCAAAUUUAAAUUUCCCAUCAUUCAACCCCAAUUCCUCCAACAUCUCUGCCCUUGAUCUCGAAACCUCGAGCUCCCCCUCAUGUUGAGCAUGCAAGAUGUUAGUUUUGUUAGUGCACUUACGUCUGCUGACUACGUCUUCCAUCGAGUCUUGAAGCUGAUCAGAUCGAAAAUGAUACGAAAUCCUAGAAAUAGUAUUGUAUAUUAGGAUCGCUUAUUGGUACAUUCUAGGAUCGCUUAUUUGUCAUUAGAAUGAUAUAGGAUCGCUUAUUUGGUAGUUGCUUGGAUCGCUUAUACGGUAAAGUGUAGGACCGCUCAUACGGACAUGUCGUAUGAGCGGACCAGAUUCUCUAUAUAUAGAGGAGCGAUCCUAGCACAUAGUUGAUGGUGUAUUGUUUCGGUACUCUGCCGAAGUGCUGUCAGAUCUUGUAACUGAGUUUGAAAUCUAUACAA
rnacentral:lncRNA from 1 species